AGCGAACGUUAGCGGCGCGCUUAACACAUGCAAGUCGAACGAGAAAGGGCUUCGGCCCCGGUACAGUGGCGCACGGGUGAGUAACACGUGGGUAAUCUACCCUCGAGCGGGGGAUAACGUUCCGAAAGGAGCGCUAAUACCGCAUAAGACCACGCUCUCGAAAGGGAGCGAGGUAAAAGUAGGCCUCUGAAUUCACGCUUACACUCGAGGAUGAGCCCGCGGCCCAUCAUGGUAGUUGGUAGGGUAAUGGCCUACCAAGCCGAAGACGGGUAGCUGGUCUUAGAGGAUGAUCAGCCACACUGGAACUGAGACACGGUCCAGACUCCUACGGGAGGCAGCAGUGGGGAAUCUUGCGCAAUGGGCGAAAGCCUGACGCAGCGACGCCGCGUGGGUGAUGAAGGCCUUCGGGUCGGUAAAGCUCUGUGGGAGGAGACGAAGAAAGACCCGUGAAGAGCGGGCCUUGACGGUAGUCUCCUUAGUCAAGCACCGGCUAACUCCGUGCCAGCAGCCGCGGUAAUC
rnacentral:rRNA from 1 species